UGUUGCUGUUGCCCUUGUUCGGCUCAUAGGCAGGAUCUCGAAGACAUCCCAAGUUCCACCAAAAGAGAAGCGGUCAUCUGAUUCGCAUCAAGUUCUCGCAUAAGCAAUUUUUGGCUCCAAUGCUGUGUUAUAAUCUUUGGUUCCUGGCAAGAUUCUAGACCUUUCUGGGGGUGGGGUGGGGUGUUCAUCAAUCUCCUUGUUAUAAAGUCGGAAGGCUGAACCAUGGCAUUAAACGGACACUGGCCCCAAGUGCCUAGGAGCAAGGGGCCCAGUCCCACCUCGUUUUCCUAGUAUUCUUAGGCCAUGUGUGUCCCCUAGCAGUCUCUGGGAACCUGCUUCAGGCGCUCCACCAGCUUGCCUAACGGGAGGGGGAGUCACAGAGAAGCUUCCUCCCAGGCUCUGGACGCCUUCGGAGUCACACUGGGCGAUGAGCAGAAUUGAAUCAUCUGACUACUCUGCCUAACUUCCUUUGUGUUUAAAACACGACUUUGUUUUUGUGGACUCCAGGAGUUGGUGACUCAGCGAAAGAGGCGCUAUCGUCUAGAAAUGUCUUUCAAUAUUUGUCGUUCCACAGUCACAAUGUCCAUGCAUUUCAUUGGUCUCCACUUGCGUGUGGCUCUCUAUUGAUCACCACCACUGGUGCAUGGACUGGAAAGAAACUGUGUCCCCUGAAGCUCCUAGUCUGUGUCAGUAGAUGUGUUUUACUGCAAAGGCAGUCAGGUACUCGGGCUUCUAGGUGCACAUGAAGGUUGUACUUUCCUACCAAGGAAAUGGCCAAGGUUUGAAUUCAAAGACCACAAUAGGAGUAGUUGCAGGCCACUGCGGGUCUCUGACUGGCUCUGGCAGCCUACUCCUCUCUGGGUAUAGAUGCAGUGGGAAAGGACAGUCUUUAUAGGGACUGUCGAACAAGACUUUUAUAUUUGGUCUUCUUACUACAUUUCAAUUUUGUUGUUUUCAAGACAGGGUCUCACAAUAUACCCCUGGCUGUCCAGGAACUCACUAUGUAGACCUGGGUGGCCUUGAACUCACAGAGAUCUACCUGCCUCUGCUUCCCAAGCCCUGGAAUUAAAGGUAUGUGCCACCAUGCCUGGCUCUACAUUUCAAUUUUGUAGAUGAGGAAUCUGAGCCUCAAAUUAGGUGGCUAGAACAAGGCCAUUCACCUAGCAAGUAGUGGAGACAAAGUGAAAACUGGGUCUUUGCCUUCCCCAGCAUGCUCCUGCUGCUUAAUCCGACCCCCUGUGAAACAUCAAAAGUUCUGUGUCUGCCCUUGCACCAGUGGACAAAGCCUCCGUUCUUACCAUUAAUCUCAAAGGUUAAAUUCUAACCCUCACACUCGUUUCUAUUAAUAACACAUUAAGAUCAGUCAUGUGAGCUCAAAUGCGUUGGAAUAUAUUUGUAUUUUUGGACUACUGAUUCAUGUGCUCUCCUUCAUAAAUGAGACACGCAGCAUAGAAAGCCGGCCCUCCUUUGUUGACAUGUCAAUUUCAACUCAACUUCUCAGGAUGAUACUCCAGCCGUUCUGGAGCAUUAACAGUUCACAAAGUUUGAUGUGCCAAUUCUCCAAGGGACAAAUUUGCAUUUUAACUUGUGCUUUCAGUGGCUGAACUCCAAAGGAUGACUAAUGAAUAGCUCUCAGAUCUCAUGGCAGGGUGAUGGUGUUAGAGACGCUCCCGACUGGAACAGCAGUGAUGCCCUUCUGCUCUUUUGGUGAAACUGUGGAGCAGCAACCAGGAUCCUGUCAGUGUAUGGAUGUCAGCUUCUGCUGCAGGCCUUGCCAAGGCUGCUGCUGCCACUGCUGCUGCUGCCGCAAAUGCCACCAAAGCUCAGAAAUACAGACAGAAUCACUCCUUGGAGGAGGAAUUAUUUCUGGAGCAAGAGGCUCUUACAAAAUGAAUCCAUGACCAGACUUUCCCCCAGUAAUACUAGAAGACACAAAGAGACCCGGGUACGCGGAGCUCUUCAGUGAGGCUCGGCACUCACAGUAGGUAGGGCCUGUUGCCAACUGUACUCCCACCGCUUUGAGAACUCCAGCUGAUUCUGGACAAGAGUUCACACCAGGCCACCGAAAGGACAGAUGCCUCUGGGUGGAUUCCAGCUGUAGCCAUGGCACAUUCUAGUCACGGUGAAGUAGAAGGUGAUGUGAACUUGGGAGGGGAAGUGCUCCUUUGUGGGACCAAUAGUCCUGAAACUGCAGGAGGGAUUAAAACCGAUUGAACAAUAGAGUUGAUGGACAACCCUGGUUAAAUUAGGGAGAAGGCAGCUCAGAAGCCAUGUAGCUCUGGCCCCCAUCAGCAGAGGUCAGGUGAAGAACAGAUUUUUUACUAGACCCCACACUAAUGCCUUUCAAAUGUAUUUCCUUCUGGUACCCGCUUUGUCUGGAAUACUCCACGGGCCUCUACGUCUCCAGCUCUUUCUCACUAAUAUAAAAUAAGCUCAUUGGAAUGAGGGGAGAGGAUGGUUUUACUUUGACUUAAACACUAAUGAGCACUUUCACUUUGUCAUAGUGUAAAUAUUAAAGUUAUAAGAGACAGCCCAGGGACGAAUUAAUUACUUUAAAGAGCCAAAGUGCUUGCACAGUGUCUAAACCUCUGUGCUGGGGAGCUAUAUCCUCACUGACACAGAGCCUCUGGUUCUCUGAAACCAGUCCCCAAGUGCUCCCCGGUGCCAGCCAGGAUGGAAGUCCUCGAAACCCCAAGGGAUGUUGAAACUGGAAGCCUUAUAGUCUUUUAUGUAACUCAUCAGCUUGUAGGUGGGAAACAGAACGUGGAAAGUAUCCAGUUCUACAAUUGGUUCUGAAGGGCCAUGAUUAGAGCACAGGUCUGAACCUGUUCAGUUGAGUCCUUUUCUAACCCUCCAUCUUGGUGGGAAAGCACAAUGGCCAGACCAGUGAGGUUUCACAGAGCCUACAAUGAUUUCAUCCCUCAAAGGGCGUCUUCAUCACCUCUUUGUAGUUCUCCUGCGCUUGAGUGGGUGGACAUGGUAUUUACUCACGGCUUUCUAUUUUGCCAUAAAAACACCUGUAACUAUUCCCUUUACAUCUCAGAACUGUUGACAAAGUAACUCCUUGGCUGCACUGGUCACUUUUAAAGGGCAGGGCAGGCACCCAGGAUGAAUUGCUUCCUGCCACCCGCUAGGCUUUUCUUUGAACUCACCUCACCUCAAUCCUCACAACCUAGCAGAGAUGACCUGUUUAUUUGAAUUUGUGAGAAUUAAUGAGUUUAUUUGUUUUUUUUUUUUUUGUUGUUGUUUGUUUUUUUUCAGGGAAUCAUGGCCAAGAAUAAUCUUCUGGAUUUGGGAUAGCUGACAUGACAUUGAGUCAUAGAUUAAGAACAAGACAGGCUGGGUUCCUUCCACUUCUCUCAUGAUAAGAGACUGGGCAGCUCGUCUUAACAAUGGAAGAAGUAGGCUUUUUGGGAGUGUGUGCUUUGUAGAAGUAUGGUGGCCUUUAGGUUUACAGGCUAAGGGGACUGACUAGUGACUUAAACUGGGAACCGUUGAAUCUCUCCUGUUGUUGAUGUCAUCGCCACAUAUAAACAACCCGCCUCGAAGGUUUUGCUUCAGCGGUGUUAUAAAGUGAGGGGCUUCAUGUGCUCCGGUUGUGCAGGAAGCCUGAAAUCAGAAUGGAGGAAACACAUAUCCAUCUAUCUGGAGUACAGAGUGGUAUCCAGCUCAGAGGUCGGAGGCAGCCAAAGAGCCAGGCACGAUAUGAAGACAGAGAGGCCAGGACUUCCUGCUUCAUCACCUGACUGACAUCUGUGGGUUCAGACUUAGUGUUAGAGCAAAUGGCCUUCACGUUUCUGUGAAGCAACUCAAGCAAACCGAUAGCAUCGCAGGCUUCAGAAGUGUUUUUCAAGGCCACAGGGGACCCAGUGCUGAAUUGCUUGGCUGUGUGAACUUCAGAUUAGUGAUUUUUAAAAGUCAGGACAAAAUGUGAUUUUGCUGUAACAGAUUGCCUGACACUUGAGCUGAUUGUGGGGCCUUGCAGAGGACAUUUGGUGUGACGAAGCUUUGGCUCACUAAUGGUUCUUGCUCAAUUUUUAUUUGUCAUUUGUGUAGCCAUUUCUUACUCCACUAGCUUUAACUCAGGUCUGGUCACAGGGGCUUCUAGUGGCCCAUUCUGGUGUCUUAUGACAAUAAUGCUGACUAUGUGCUUCUAGGGGAGGUGAAGGGCCCGCAGCUUGUUGCCUUUUGUCCCUUUGCUGUGGUCCCUGCCUACCCUGCUACCCUCUCUCCUUGACGCUCUGGAAGGAUUUGGACAUAAGCAUUAUUUUACUUUUGAGUAAGAGUCGUGCACUAAGCAGAUUAACCACUUAGCUUGUGUUUCUGAGCCAAAAUAGCAGAGAGCUUCACUGGAAGUUUGAAGAGUUAACUUGAGAAAAGGGGCCAGUUCUGUUUUCUAUAGUAGUUAACAAACGUUAGGAACUCCUUGGUCCAGGAUCAGAGCAUACGGCUGCAUACUUUACAGAAAUUCAGUUCAGAGGCAUAUAUUCAUGACAGACCACUUUCAGAGCCAGUACGAAUGUCAUAAUGUCGUAAUAUCAUAACCUACUGUUUGAAAGAUACAUUUUUAGACGUUUUGCUUUCUCAUUUUAAAAGAACAUCUGCAUAAUGUCCCUAAAUUGAAGAAAGCUACUUUGGGGGGAGGGGAAAGGAAGCAUUGCUCAAAGCACCUUGCAUAGAUGCACGAAGGAAACGAUCCAAGAUCCCCCUGUCCAGAGAAAACAACCACGCAGUUGGUAGAUUUCCUUGUAGGCUUUGGUUUUAAGUGCACUUUCUUACAUUGUUUGGAAACUUCAUAUUGUACAUUCAAUUUUACGAUCACUCUUUCCCAUUUAUGCUGCAGCAAAAUAUUUUCCCCCGGUGAUUUGAAACUGUUCAAAGUGUAAUUUUUGAACGUUAUUUUUAAUUAUAAACUGACAAAUUACAGCUGUAUAUAUUUAUAGGCUACAAAGCGAUACGAUGAUUCAUGAUUAACACGAUGCAACAUCUAAAUCAAGGUAAUUAGCGUAUUUAUCAUCUCAAAGGGCUUAUCCUUUUUGUAGUAAGGAUAGCAAAUGUACACAUUAUUUACCAUAUUUAUCUCACUCUAAUGUCUCUCCUGUCUGGCUGAGGCUUGGCACUCGAGGAUGACCAUAUCUUUUUUUUUUUUCUUUUUUUCGGAGCUGGGGACCGAACCCAGGGCCUUGCGCUUGUUAUGCAAGCGCUCUACCGCUGAGCUAAAUCCCCAACCCCGUAUGACCAUAUCUUUAUUCUCCCUGUAUCCCAGCCUCUGAUACCCACACACCACGCUCUGCUUCCUCUGUCUGCCUGUUUUAGAUGGCACACGAGGAAGGACCCUGUUUGUCCUUCUGUGCCUGGCUGUUUCUCCAGUUUCAUCCAUGUUACUGUAAACGUCAAAACCUAUUUCAUUUCAAGAACUGGAGAGUAUCCCAUUUGUGCGGGAUCCCUCAUUUCACUAUCUGUUGACUGACUGUGGGUGUUCAGGCUCAUAUCACUUGGCUACAGUCCCUGGGGCUGCAACAGACACACUGCAGACCCUCAACACGCCGCUUCCAAGUCCUUUGGGUAAACAUCUAGAGCUGGUAUUUCUGGAUCACAGGAUAAUUCUAUUUUUAGUUGUUUUGCUGAAGACUCUCCACACAGUCCUUCCCAAUGGCUGUACUAAUGAGCAUCCCUCAGCAGUGUGCAAAUGCCUGCCUCUUAUGCCUCGUCACCACGCUUGCCUUUCUUCUUUCAGAUAAAAGUCACUCUGACAGUUUGAUAUGCCGAUUGUAAUUUUUUUUAAAAAAAGCUUAUUGAUUUUAUUUUAGAUAUAUGAGUGUUUUGCUCCACGACUAUCUGAGUGGACAUUGUCUGAAGAGGCCAGGAGAGGGAGUUGGAUAUCCUGACAACAGAGUUGUGGGCCACCAAGUGGGUGCUGGGAUCCUCUGUAGGGGCAGUCAACGUUCAACCACUGAGCCAUCUCUUCAGCCCCUGAUUCUGGUUUUAAUUUGUACUUCCAGGGUGAUUGAUUAGUGAUAUUGGUACUUUCCCUCACACUUAUUGCUAUUAAUAUGUCUUAUUUUGAGAAAUAACUAUUCAUAUUCCUUAGCCAUUUAAAUCCAAUGAUUCGUUUUCUUUCUAUGGAGUCUUUUGGACAUUGAUCCUUUAGCAGAUGCAUGGCUUGAAAAAACAGUUUAUUCCAUCUGGUAGGUUGUCUUAUUAUUUCCUUUUAUGUUGGUCACACUUUCAUUGUUGUGAUGGGGUAUCUGUCAUGGGAAAUGUCAGAGGGGAAAGACUUAUUUUAGCUCUCCAUUUUGAGAGUUAAGCCCAACCUCAUUUUCUCUGUCUUGAGGCUUAGAGGCAUGGCAGGUACUGAGGCAGUAGCAAAAUGCAGUAAGACUUACUCACCUUGUGGUAGUCAGAAAGAAGGGAGGGGAUCAGGAAUUAAGCAUUGCUCAGGACCCACCCAGUGUCUACCUUUUCUAGUUAGGCCUACUUCCUAAAUUGCUACCAUCUCCCCAGACACCACCUGAAGUGGGAAUUACUGGUUUUGGAGGAGACUCAGGUGUGUCAUGUGAUGUUUUUCCAGAAACUGUCUUAUGAGAGGAUGUUUUGCUGAAGCAGACAUGUGAGAAGAUAUUUUGCUGAGAACAGACAUGUGGUAUUUUUCUGGUGAAAGGGCCUGCAAUGUUUUGUUGGAACAGACACUUGAGAGAGAGAAAAAUGCACCAAAGAACUUGUGGUAUUCUGGCUGCUUCUUACCACUUCAAUGGACUUGGUGGGCUGAUUGGCGGAGCCUUGUGGUUUCUUCUGUAUUGAGCCCCUACUACUGAUUCAUGCUUGGUGUUUGCUGAGUCAACUGGACUGCCACUGCCAAUUCAUGCUUGGUGUUUUGCUAGCGCACUGGACUGCUGACAAUGAAGAUUGGAAUGGACCCAAAGAACUAUUUUUAAACAGGUUCACAAACCCUGUUUCCUAUUAACCUUUCUUUCCCCCUACCUCUGUGGGUGGUGGGCUAAAAGGGAGGUUGAAGCAUUAAAGAACCACAAUUAAGGUAGGUUUUGAAAUAUGUAAGCCUACAACCACCAGUGUCAGGGAACUGAAGCUUUAACACAUGAGCCUAGAGGGAUAUUUCAAAUUCGGACAGGAACAUUUUGCCUCUGACUGCUAAGAACUUUUGGUCAUGUCAUAAUGAAAACUUUAUUUAACUUGUCUCCAAAGUCUGAGUCUAAGUCUGAAGUCUCCUGUGAGACCCAAGUAUACUCUUAUCCGUGAGCCCUUCUAAGACACAAAAGUUACAUACUUUCAAACCGUAAUGGCACAAAGUAAACUCUCCUGUCUCAAAAUGGAGGACUGGGGAGGUGAGAGUGGGACUCCCAGAAAUGACAUUAGAGCCCACAUUAUGUGCAGUGACUGGGUCACUUGGUGUCAAGCUUUAUCAGGGUUGGACAAUCUCACCUGUACUGCAGCCCACAGAUUCUCUCUUGCACUGACUCCACUCAUUGCCCUAGUUUUCCCUGACAGAGGUUUCCACAUUCCAGAGACUAUCAGCAGCCUUAGGCUUCUAGUGUAGUUAAGGUUCAUGAAUCCCUCCCUCCAGCUACCUGCAGGGACUCCUCUCACCCUAAAGCACAUUUCCUGCCUUACGGGCAAUCCAUUGAAACUUCAUGAGAACUCUUCGACAUCCUAAACACUCCUAUCUAGAUGUCCUUUAAAAAUAGAUUCCUACAGAUUAUUUUAAGGUCUCCUAUCAUCUUGAGCAGUAGCCAUGAUCCUUUAGACCAUGUCUUGGGAAGCUGAGCACAGAGAAGCAUGUCCUGAGGGAUUUGAAGUUAAAUUGGGAUUGUGAGCCAGCUACCAACAGGAUUACUUUUUUGGUUUGUUUAUUAGAAAUAUCAGUCCCUGGGGUUAACAGGACAAAGGGGGUUUCAUUUAGAGGAGAUGAAAGACUUUUCAAAUUCUUACCUCCAUUUUGAGUUGAGAAGGUGAUGCCCUGAAUUCAUUAUUGUUUCUCCCGAUUCUGCAUGGCACUUUGAAGUCAUUCAAGAAUGUAACAAUACUCUCUCUUCUUCCCACCAUUGUUCUGUGGCAGUGGUUACCUGGUACUAUAACACUUUGCCUCUUAUAGGGACUACUUCCUAUCAGCAACUACUGGUGUCCUGCUCACCAUUGAGAUCAGCACCAAACUUCUGUCUUUGAUUUUACCUCUGGAAUUAGUGGAACUACCUCCAGACUUAUUAAUUAUUUCAAUCAUCUAGGGAAAGAAGACUAUUAUGAGUGAUGUGGAAUCAAGAAAUAAUAGAGUCGUUACAGAAUCAGACCUUACACACACAGGAGAGAACUAAUGGACAGGAAGAGAACAGAGAAAUGGUAACCAACCUAUUUGCCUGAAGCAAGAGCAUGAUAGACACUCUGAGACUGGGAGGAAAUCUAAGAAGGUUAACACACACCAUCAACAUGGACCGGAAGUGUGAAUCACAGGGAAACAUGUGUGGAAUGUUCCUGUCAUCUUUAUAGACACACUCAAGCAUCUGGCAAGACCCCUGCAGUUACUGAGGAUAGUGAUAGCCAAAAAGAGCAGGAAAAUGGGGCAUGGUAGCACAGGCUGGUAAUUCCAGCACUUGGGACAUGAGGAAAGCCUUAGUUUCUUAGCAAGUGCAAAACCAGCCUGGAAUCAUAGAAACCUAAAAUCAACCGAUCAAUCAAUUAGAACCUAAGUAACCAAGAAAUUAUCCUGACAUGAAAAAGCGGAGCAUUGGCCACAUGGCAGGAGCGACUUGAGUUUACUGACUGAAAUGAUGUAAAACUUCAGUAGGGAAACAUCACCAAAUUGCUAGUACUACUCACAAUACAUAGUUAUUUGUCUUACUAUCACAAUAGUUAAAUUUUGUGAGAUGUACGUUACACGUUUUCCAUAUUGUUUUACUGAAAACACAUAUUUAAUUCCCAUAAUUAGGUUUAGGACUUAUUCUCUUGUGUUUAUCCACUCAGUUUACUGUAAGAUAUUCUUACUACAUUCUUCGCUCACAUCUCAUAUUCUCCUUUCUUACUCCUGUGUCUUCUCUGUCUCUCUUCUUUAUUCCUUCUUGGCACGUCUAACUUAUAACCUUCCAGUCACAGGUUUAACAACAUGUGGCUCCUAAUUAUAUCCCAGACUCACUCUCUGUGAUUGUUUUGUGUAUUUUCCACAUCAAUGUAAUAUUUAAUCCUUAUUCUUUUUUUUUCUUUUUUUCGGAGCUGGGGACCGAACCCAGGGCCUUGUACUUGCUAGGCAAGUGCUCUACCACUGAGCUAAAUCCCCAACCCCUUAAUCCUUAUUCUUACCCACCCUAUUUUCCUUCUCUGAAUAUAUUGCAUACUUUCCUUAUAGUUAUUCUCUAACAGUUAUUAAAUUCAAAGGCACUGUGGGACCGUAAUGGCCCAGGGUUACCGAGAAAUGGUUGAGGAAGCUUCAACCCUGGAUGCUUCAAACGUGAGGAGGCAGGAGAUGGCUGCCUCCCCUCUCCCAAUCUGGUGCCAUAAAGCCAGCUCCCCCACCAUCAACCCUAGCAGGAAUUUAUUACCCUGACAAUUAUUAGGUUUCACUCCUUGUUUGACCUUAUAAGCCCUCUGCCCCCACUAUAGUUCCUGACUAUGUAGAUGAAGCAUCUUCCAACAUCCCUGCUCUGGCCAAUGAUACAUAGGCUCACAAACCUUGCCCCAGAGUCCCUAGGCACCUCUCUAGGGGCAUAAAUAACCCUUUCUUUCCCAUUGCCUGCACACUCACCUUGCUCUACACCUGCCUGUGCCCAGCUAAGCUGAGCUUCCCUCCCUCCAGUCCAGCUUGGUGCAAAACAGGCCUGGCUAACCCAAGGGGAUAACUAGACACAGGGUGGCAAGGUACCACUGUCUUUAAUUGGCUAACGUAACACUUGCAUUGUGAUAAUUUCCAGCAUCUUGUGGUUACUCUUAUGCUCAGGGAGAACAUAGAACUUACACUGAGAACCCAUAGGUGCUGGGCUGCAGAAUUCUUUUCUGAAUUAUACACUCAACACUAUCAUAUCUGAGUUCCACUUGAACAUUUUGCAUAGCACAGUUAUUUCCAGUUGUGUUCAGUUUUUAGCAUGUGACAUAAUUUUAUCUUUCUGUGGUGGAAAAAGGCUCCACUGCAUAUAGAUACUAUAUUUUCUUUAUUCAUUCAUCUGUGGAUGAACUCUUGGGCUGUGAAUAGGUUAAUUCUUACAUUAAUAAUUAUCUCUACACCAGUAAGUAUGGAAAAUCCAUUGUGUGUGCAGAGCUCUAAUGUAAGCAAAAAAGGCAACAAAGGUAUUGUGUCUAUUUUCAAAGUGUGUGCAGUCUACCAUGAAAAAUUCAUAUUAACAUAGAAGCUAAGAGUAGGCUGAGAGUCCCAGAAGUGAGAAUUAAUGUACUGGUACUGAUGGACAUUGUGUGUAUUAUAGCUCUCUGAAGGGAAAUGAAUAUAUUGAUAAUAGGAUUCUGCACAUAGUUGUAUCAACAAUAAAAUGAUAGAGUACAUCCUUAGCUCUAAAUUUUCACAACCCAAUGGUCCUUAAUCUGGUAACUCAUUCCUCAGAAGACCUGCUUACUUCAAAGUAUUAUUUAUGAGGAUAUGGUGAAGUGUCACAAAAAGCUUUGUAAAUUAUAAAUGAUGCUACAAAUGUAAGAAUUACUAGAAAGAAAUGUAUGAUAAGCAUGAUAAGAAUAUUUGUUGAAUAAAUGAAUUAGAAAAUAAAAAUACACUUCGAACACA